rnacentral:lncRNA from 1 species
CGGGCUUCAAAAAUUCUCCUUCAGCUCCAGAAACAAGUGAAAAGGAAACCAAGAAGAACCAUUUUUAACCCAGCUGCGGUUUCACAAAAGGGAAGAGAUGGAAGCCAUCAUUGCAAUUCCACUUGCUCCUCUGGGAAAACUGAGGCUCUCUGUGUGCUCGCUGCCACUUCAAGCUGGAGUGCGUUUCUGCCUGAAGUGAUUACAUUAUUCUUUUCCUCAAUGACAUCUGGGAGAAAUGGACGUGCCUUCCGUCUCUGCUGCUGCCUGGGCUCAAAGGCCUCUGGGUAAAG